UAAUACAGGGGGGGCAGGCGUUGUUCGGAAUUACUGGGCGUAAAGGGUUCGUAGGUGGCUACUUAAGUCAGACGUGAAAUCCCUCAGCUUAACUGGGGAACUGCGUCUGUUACUGGGUGGCUUGAGUGCAGGAGAGGAAUGCGGAAUUCCAGGUGUAGCGGUGAAAUGCGUAGAUAUCUGGAGGAACACCGGUGGCGAAGGCGGCAUUCUGGACUGUAACUGACACUGAUGAACGAAAGCCAGGGGAGCAAACGGGA
rnacentral:rRNA from 1 species